rnacentral:rRNA from 1 species
CUACGGGGUGCUGCAGUUAGGAAUAUUCUGCAAUGCGCGAAAGCGUGACAGAUUGAGCCAGAGUGCGUUUCAAUUGAAAUGCUUUUGUCAAAUGUAAAAAGUUUGGCGAAUAAGGACUGGGUAAGACGAGUGCCAGCCGCCGCGGUAAUACUCGCGGUCCAAGUCGCAGCCAUCUUUAUUAGGUCUAAAACAUCCGUAGCUUGCUUAAUAAGUCUCUUGUGAAAUUUUAUGUCUUAAACAUAAAGCGCGCAUGAGGUACUGUUGAGCUAGAGACUGGAAGACGUGAGAAGUACGGCAAAAGUAGCGGUAAAAUGUUUUAAUCUUUGUCGGACUCACAAUAGCGAAGGCAUCUUACGAGGACAGUUCUGACAGUAAGGGAUGAAGGCUAGGGGCGCAAAACGGAUUAGAUACCCGAGUAGUC